UACGGGGGGAGCAAGCGUUGUUCAGAAUUACUGGGCGUAAAGGGCGCGUAGGCGGCCGCCUAAGUCAGACGUGAAAUCCCUCGGCUCAACCGGGGAACUGCGUCUGAUACUGGGUGGCUUGAAUCCGGGAGAGGGAUGCGGAAUUCCAGGUGUAGCGGUGAAAUGCGUAGAUAUCUGGAGGAACACCGGUGGCGAAGGCGGCAUCCUGGACCGGUAUUGACGCUGAGGCGCGAAAGCCAGGGGAGCAAACGGG
rnacentral:rRNA from 1 species